rnacentral:tRNA from 1 species
GCGCCUGUAGCUCAACUGGACAGAGCGUGGGCCUCCGGAGCCCGAGGUUGCGGGUUCAAGUCCCGCCAGGCGCGCAA